GGUUUCUUGGUUUAGUGGUAUAAUUCUCGCUUAGGGUGCGAGAGGUCCCGGGUUCGAUUCCCGGAGAAACCC
rfam:Choanephora cucurbitarum strain KTS-F28377 scaffold_466, whole genome shotgun sequence.